UACGGGGGGGGCAAGCGUUGUUCGGAAUUACUGGGCGUAAAGGGCGCGUAGGCGGUCCGCUAAGUUGGAUGUGAAAACUCUGGGCUUAACCCAGAGCCUGCAUUCAAAACUGACGGGCUAGAGUUCUGGAGGGGGUAGCGGAAUUCCUGGUGUAGCGGUGAAAUGCGUAGAUAUCAGGAGGAACACCGGUGGCGAAGGCAGCCCCCUGGGCCAACACUGACGCUCAGGCACGAAAGCGUGGGGAGCAAACAGG
rnacentral:rRNA from 1 species